rnacentral:rRNA from 1 species
UGACCGUUGUAGUCCACACUGCAAACCAUGACACCCAUGAAUUGGGGAACAUCAUUGGGUGCCCGUGUGGCGGCCUUUUGUGCCGACCCUCGGCCCCAAUUUAUUUAUCAAUUUACGUGCCUAUUCUAUCACCCCCGGUUCCCUCUUUUGAGGUUCUUCCGGGGUUUUUUACGGGAAUAUCCUCAGCACGUUUCUUACUUCUUCACGCGAAAGCUUGGAGGUUACAGUCUCAGGGGG